rnacentral:rRNA from 1 species
AAUCAACGCUGGCGGCGUGCCUCAGACAUGCAAGUCGAACGAUUAAAGCUCUCUUCGGAGAGUGUAUAGAGUGGCGCACGGGUGAGUAACACGUAAGUAAUCUACCCUCGAGUGGGGAAUAACAACCGGAAACGGUUGCUAAUACCGCAUAAUGCAGCGGCACCGCAAGGUGACAGUUGUUAAAGAUUUAUCGCUUGAGGAGGAGCUUGCGGCAGAUUAGCUAGUUGGUGAGGUAAAGGCUCACCAAGGCGACGAUCUGUAGCGGGUCUGAGAGGAUGAUCCGCCACACUGGAACUGAGACACGGUCCAGACUCCUACGGGAGGCAGCAGUGGGGAAUUUUGGACAAUGGGCGCAAGCCUGAUCCAGCCAUGCCGCGUGAGUGAAGAAGGCCUGGUGUAAGAGUCUUCUANCGGAGAAACGACA